AUUGUAAUGGGAAAAUAUGUUUAAUUUCAUGUCCCCAUUCUCAGACCAAGCAAUUAUUUUUAACUUCACAUCUAUACAAAGGAAAACAAUUUGGCAAAUAGAGGCACAAAGAUUCCAGAUACUGAAAUCAGAAAUGAAUGCUAGUGCUACCGUGGGAGUGGGCACUUGCCUCUCGACCUCCAAGCCAUUGAGCAUUGGCUUGACCCCAGUUCCUAUCUGUUUGCUCCGGAGGAGGAGGAGGUGUUUGAUGAUUGGGGCGGAGGCGGAGGUGGAGCUAGCCGCGUCGGAGGCCCAACCUGCAUCUCGCCGCCUCAUUCUACUUCGCCAUGCCAAGAGUUCUUGGCAACAUCCGUCUUUGCGAGAUCAUGACCGCCCUCUCAGUAAAACCGGACGAAUUGACGCUGUAACGGUUUCUCGAAAGCUCGAACGUAUGGGUUGGAUCCCUCAGCUUAUUUUAUGCAGUGAUGCCCUGCGGACCAGGGAAACGCUUAAUAUCAUGCAGGAAGAGGCGCGUGGUUUCCUGGAAGCGGAGGUCCAUUUCAUAUCUAGUUAUUAUUCCAUUGCAGCCAUGGAUGGUCAGACUGCUGAACACCUCCAACGAACUAUAUGUCAAUAUUCAAGGGAUGAAUUAUUCACUAUUAUGUGUAUGGGGCAUAAUAGGGGAUGGGAAGAGGCGGCCUCCAUGUUCACUGGUGCUUCCGUAGAACUCAAGACUUGUAAUGCUGCUUUGCUUGAAGCUCCUGGAAAAUCAUGGGAAGAGAAAGCCAUGCAUUUUGCGCUGGAUAUUUGUCAGACACAUGUCAGAAGAAUAGAAGUGUGUGACCUACAUAAAAUUAUGCUAUUCAGGGGGUUCAUGUAGAGGCUACAGGAUGGAUAUUCAAUAGACUUUCGAAGUUUAUUCACUUGAAGCAUAAACAUCUGUGAAACCUAGUGCCAAAACUUUUGAAAACUGAUACUUGUUUGAUAAACAGUGUUGCCUUGAAAUUAGGGCGUAGUAUCAUAAAUCAUUAGUAGACAGAUGGGAGAAGUGGGAUUAACCGUGUUUAGAACUAAAUUGACUGAUUCCCUUCUAAAAAAGUAUAAUUAAGCUUGUGAAUUUGUGGUGUUCAUUCUGUCUGAUCCCCUCUUGAUGUAUCUUUUUAUUUAGAAAAUCUCCAUAUAUAGAAAGCGAUGGUUCAAUCAUAAUGUCCGUUUUGGAAAGGCAUUUGCUGUAGCAGGAUAUGGUGGGUGGAAGCUUCAAGGCAUAGUGACACCCAGUAGUAACCUGUAGAGCAUAGACAUUCCAAAAUUUUUGAACAAAUCUAAUCCCCCUCCCUUCUCAGUUCUCUCUGCAAGGAAAAUAGAAAUUGUUCAAAGAGGCAAUAGCUAGAGAAAGAGUUGCUAUAUAUGGUCUAAACCAGGUUCCAGUUCCUACAGAUCUGUCGUUUGCACUUUGCAGGUAGCAGCUGUUGAAAUCUACCUUGAUCUACCUUGAUCGAAACAUUGCGGUUCCAGUUUGCACUGGUUUCAAUAUGUCGAAUUGAUGGGUGGCCAUGUUGAAACAGUUGGGGUCAUUUGUUAGCUUCAUUAUAUUCCACACACAAAAGGAGAUUCUGCAACUCUCUUUUCGGUUAAGACGGAUUUCCUGAUGCGAUACUGUCGUAGUGUAGCAUGUGAUGAAACUGAUUAUGUGAAACAAUUACUUGAAAGAGUUUUGACUGUGUAUAAAGGUAAUUCUACACGGAAGAAAUAA